UACGUAGGGGGCAAGCGUUGUCCGGAAUCAUUGGGCGUAAAGCGCGUGUAGGCGGCUGAGUAAGUCUGCUCUGAAAGCCCGGGGCUCAACCCCGGGAGGCGGGUGGAUACUGCUCAGCUCGAGUCCGGAAGAGGAGUGUGGAAUUCCUGGUGUAGCGGUGAAAUGCGCAGAUAUCAGGAGGAACACCAAUGGCGAAGGCAGCACUCUGGGACGGUACUGACGCUGAGGCGCGAAAGCGUGGGGAGCAAACAGG
rnacentral:rRNA from 1 species